AUGUCUACAACUAUCCAAGUAGUGUGUUUUGAAAAUAGAAGCAACGCGACUCACACUAAGCAAUCACAUGUUUUGUCUCGAGGAUUUUUUUUUAAUUUUGACAUAUUAUUUCUUAUACAGCUACAAUUGGUACAAAAUACUGCUUAUUACUUUAAGCCUUUAUUGGCAUACUUUUGUUGUGUUCUUUUCUUUCUUUACUUUCUAUCAACAGCAAGUUGGAACCUGUUCUUAUUUUGCCAUAAUGAUUUUGAUGGUAAUUGGUCAAGUGUAUUUCUAGCUGGAAUUGCAUGUAUAUCUCAGAUUUACAUCACAACAAAUUAA
rnacentral:rRNA from 1 species